rnacentral:rRNA from 1 species
CACGCCGUAAACUAUGAUCACUCGCUGUUGGCGAUACACAGUCAGCGGCUAAGCAAAAGCAUUAAGUGAUCCACCUGGGGAGUACGGCCGCAAGGCUGAAACUCAAAGGAAUUGACGGGGGCCCGCACAAGCGGAGGAACAUGUGGUUUAAUUCGAUGAUACGCGAGGAACCUUACCUGGGCUUAAAUGUGGAGUGCAUUGGUGAGAAAUCAUCAUUUUCUUCGGAACUCUC